rnacentral:rRNA from 1 species
UACGAAGGGUGCAACCGUUGCUCGGAAUUAUUGGGCGUAAAGCGCACGUAGGCGGCUUGGCAAGUCGGAUGUGAAAUCCCUCGGCUCAACCAAGGAAGUGCAUCCGAAACUGCCGAGCUUGAGUACUUAAGAGGAUCGCGGAAUUCCCGGUGUAGAGGUGAAAUUCGUAGAUAUCGGGAGGAACACCAGUGGCGAAGGCGGGCUUCUGGCUAAUUACUGACGCUGAGGUGCGAAAGCUAGGGGAGCGAACGGG